AGCAUGGUCAUCAUCUUCCACGCGUUGGUCGUACUGGUCCAGGAGUUGUGUCAACGGAGGUGCUUUUGGUAGAAGUUGUCUGAUCAUAUCUCGGCUGAUGUUUGGGGCUUGUUCGAGCCUAGGUAUACUGAAAAUCUGGGAUUUAAUGCUGUGAAGUCUCAUGAGCCUGCUCUGUUCCCUGAACUCGCAAGUUGAGCAUUGUUCACCUCCUUUCACGUCAAUACCAGGCUGGCGUGUAGUGUUUUUAUUAAUCUCCAUGGCUAUUAUGGAGACAAAACCAAACAGACUCAGACAAAGCAGAAAACGCAUUCUGGCACUUUCCUUAUGUUUGUGGAUAGAAUAACACAGUUUGUACACAGGGUAAUGCAGAGCUCUCACAGGACAGUGAUAUGUUAAUAUAUAAUCUCCUCGCCUUUCUGUGUCCACAUUUUAAUAGGAUGGACUAAUGGAGAAAAAAAGAUUGUAGGUUUUAAAGCGAUAGAGACAGAAUUGUGAUAAUUCUUUAUUGCAUUUUAUUAAGUCCAAUAAAAUAAUCUCCAAACCCCCAGGACAGAGUGCACGGCACGCGAUGUUAUUGUAGCCAUAUCAUAUCGGUAGUAUACACACACACACGUUAAACUUUAUUAUUUGAUCACUUCAUCUAUGAUAUGGUUGAACUUAAACACCUUUUUGGUAUCCGUCUUUGACAGAACAAAAUGUGUAGUUCUGGCAAAAUGACACUAGAGGACAGUACAGACUCUAUGUGACUGUUCACUUUACCACUCCCAUAAACGUGUUAGUUGUGGCUCACAUGUGUCAAGUGUCAAUAGAGGUAGUGCAAGAGAAUGAAACCAAACAAUGUGCAUUUCAGAACUGGAACACUGUUAGACCACUUUCAAAGAGUGGGAGUUUUGGAGGUGCCUCUUUGACCUUCACACAUUACCUCAAAGCGCACAGUGUAAAGACAAAAUACAAUAACAUGGGAUGUGUCCAUUCAAGACUAAGAUGCUUCUCAAAGGACGACAGCUUAAGGAAACCAAAUGAGAGCAUCAGAGAAGCCCACCUUGAAGAGAAACAGCCAUUUGUCCACUCAAAAGAUCCUGCAAAGAGGCACAAAAACAGCAUGGAAGCUUCUGUCCACACAGAGGUCAUACAGAAUGAAUUUACCUCCCUCCAGGCACUAAAAGAGUAUGCUCAGAAGAUGUCAGAGGAAAUUGUUGCACACGCUCUCCAUGUAUUUGCUAAGCUGGACAGUUGCUACAGAGACAUACCGUAUAUAGAGUCUGAUGAGACGUGAAAGCCGUGGCCCUUGGUCAACUCCAGUCCACUU